CGAAUGACUUUUGUGAAACUUCUACAGCAGUAGCGAUGAAGUCAUUCUAUAUCUCAUAAUAACUUAAUUUUUAUAUUAGGCAGUCUGUCUACGGCUGCAACAACAAUAAAGGGGCAAAGCACCCCACCUCUGAAAUAUAUAAAACUCAAUUUCAGUAGCUCAAAUGCAGACAGACAAAACCGCCUAGGGCUACAGAAAUUAAUGGAUAUGUAAGUCGAUUAGAAGUUAACAAUUUUACAUUUAUUUGCUGUUAUUAGUGAAAUCACUGCUCAAAAACACUCACUUUUGGGUUAAUUCUGUUUGCUGUAGUACCAGAAGUUUUUAAUUUACAUCAAACGCCAUUCCAUAGUGAAUCGUCUUCAGAAAUAUCAGAAAAAAAGAUUUGUACUGCAUUAUUAUUAUAUUCAAAAUACCCACAUAGAAAUGUUUUUUUAAAAAAAAAAAAGACUUUAUCUGAGUAUAACUUUCUGUGAGUUGAGUUUCUUGGCUUUUUCUUAUUCCAUAAUUAUGGUCAUUGAAAAAUUUUAACUUACCGGAACUCACCUGUAACUCACAAUUGUUCUCUCGCAAUGGUUUCCAAUUAAUUUCAUUUAUUUUAAGUUAGGGACGCUGGAUGUGUAUAAAAAAAAAAUACAUAUAUAUAUAUUUAUGGUUUUUUAUGUUGUAAAAAGCAUGUUAUAAUCAAUGUAUAAUUUUAUUGCUUAAGUUAUUUAAAUAUACAUGUACCCUACUUAGAUUAUAGCAAAGUUCAUUCCUAUCAUCAUUGCAAAUGUAAUAUUGGUUUUAUAAGAUGUUAAAUAUACAAUGCAGAAUGAUUAAAAUAUAUAUAUUCAAAAAGAAA